UACGUAGGGGGCGAGCGUUGUCCGGAAUUACUGGGCGUAAAGGGCGUGUAGGCGGCCUGAUAAGUCAGAUGUGAAAUCCCAAGGCUUAACCGUGGGUUUGCAUUUGAAACUGUUGGGCUUGAGGGCAGGAGAGGGAAGCGGAAUUCCCAGUGUAGCGGUGAAAUGCGUAGAUAUUGGGAGGAACACCAGUGGCGAAGGCGGCUUCCUGGACUGCACCUGACGCUGAGGCGCGAAAGCUAGGGUAGCGAACGGGAUUAGAUACCCCGGUAGUCCUAGCCGUAAACGAUGGGUACUAGGUGUGGGAGGUAUCGACCCCUUCCGUGCCGCAGUUAACGCAAUAAGUACCCCGCCUGGGGAGUACGGCCGCAAGGUUGAA
rnacentral:rRNA from 1 species